rnacentral:rRNA from 1 species
CCAGCGAUUAGGUCGGGAACUCAAAGGAGACUGCCAGUGAUAAACUGGAGGAAGGUGGGGAUGACGUCAAGUCAUCAUGGCCCUUACGACCAGGGCUACACACGUGCUAC